CCUACGGGAGGCAGCAGUAGGGAAUCUUUCACAAUGGGCGAAAGCCUGAUGGAGCAACGCCGCGUGCAGGAUGAAGGCCUUCGGGUUGUAAACUGCUUUUAUAAGCGAGAAAUAUGAUGGUAACUUAUGAAUAAGGAUCGGCUAACUACGUGCCAGCAGCCGCGGUCAUACGUCGGAUGCGAGCAUUAUCCGGAGUGACUGUGUGUAAAGAGUUGCGUAGGUGGCAUAAUAAGUAGCUAGUGAAAUCUGGUGGCCCAACCAUUCAGACUAUUAGCUAAACUGUUGAGCUCGAGACCGUUAGGGGUAACUGGAAUUUCUAGUGUAGGAGUGAAAUGCGUAGAUAUUAGAAGGAACACCAAUAGCGUAGGCAGGUUACUGGGACGGUUCUGACACUAAGGCACGAAAGCGUAGGGAGCAAACGGGAUUAGAUACCCGGGUAGUC
rnacentral:rRNA from 1 species